rnacentral:rRNA from 1 species
AGCGAACGCUGGCGGCAGGCCUAACACAUGCAAGUCGAGCGCCCCGCAAGGGGAGCGGCAGACGGGAGAGUAACACGUGGGAACAUGCCCUUCAGUACGGAACAACCAAGGGAAACUUUGGCUAAUACCGUAUACGCCCGUAAGGGGAAAGAUUUAUCGCUGAAGGAUUGGCCCGCGUCUGAUUAGCUAGUUGGUGGGGUAAUGGCCCACCAAGGCGACGAUCAGUAGCUGGUCUGAGAGGAUGAUCAGCCUCACUGGGACUGAGACACGGCCCAGACUCCUACGGGAGGCAGCAGUGGGAAUAUUGGACAAUGGGCGCAAGCCUGAUCCAGCCAUGCCGCGUGAGUGAUGAGGGCCUUAGGGUUGUAAAGCUCUUUCGUCAGGGAAGAUAAUGACGGUACCUGAAGAAGAAGCCCCGGCUAACUUCGUGCCAGCAGCCGCUGUAA